AGUGAACGCUGGCGGCGUGCUUAACACAUGCAAGUCGAACGAGAACGGGUCUUAGCUUGCUAAGAUUGUCAGCUAAGUGGCGCACGGGUGAGUAAUAUAUAGUUAACCUGCCCUAGAGAGAGGGAUAACGUUUGGAAACGGACGCUAACACCUCAUAUGCCUUUAAGUCAUAAGACUGCAAGGGAAACAUUUAUGGCUCUAGGAUGGGACUGUACGGUAUCAGUUAGUUGGUGAGGUAAUGGCUCACCAAGACAAUGACACCUAACUGGUUUGAGAGGAUGAUCAGUCACACUGGAACUGAGACACGGUCCAG
rnacentral:rRNA from 1 species